rnacentral:rRNA from 1 species
GACGAACGCUGGCGGCGUGCCUAAUACAUGCAAGUAGAACGCACAGUUUAUACCGUAGCUUGCUACACCAUAGACUGUGAGUUGCGAACGGGUGAGUAACGCGUAGGUAACCUGCCUGGUAGCGGGUGAUAACUAUUGGAAACGAUAGCUAAUACCUCAUAAUAUUGAUUAUUGCAUGAUAAUUAAUUGAAAGGUGCAAUUGCACCACUACCAGAUGGACCUGCGUUGUAUUAGCUAGUAGGUGAGGUAACGGCUCACCUAGGCGACGAUACAUAUCCGACCUGAGAGGGGGAUAGGCCACACUGGGACUGAGACACGGCCCAGACUCCUACGGGAGGAAGCAGUAGGGAAUCUUCGGCAAUGGACGAAAGUCUGACCGAGCAACGCCGCGUGAGUGAAGAAGGUUUUCGGAUCGUAAAGCUCUGUUGUAAGAGAAGAACGGGUGUGAGAGUGGAAAGUUCACACUGUGACGGUAUCUUACCAGAAAGGGACGGCUAACUACGUG